rnacentral:lncRNA from 1 species
CCUUUCUUCAACAAACUGCUCCCCUGAUCGACACCGUAAAAAAGACAAAAAGGGCCGUUUCUCGACUACUCAGCGGCUAAUUAAUUGACACUCGUGGAGCAAACGGUCCGAGAGGGCCCGCGGAGCUCUGAGAGGCAGUAGAAUCAGGACACUAGCGUUUUCUCCUUCUGCCUGGGCUGUGUAAUCACUCCCCUCAGCAGACUGGCAGCAGGGGCAGCCUCUGUGUUUGUAUCCCUGGAUACACAAAGGCCGUAAAGAACUUUCUCUUCCUCCCUGCCCACUGCCCUUCCCCCUCCCUGUGCUCCCUGUCUCCCGUCUCGCUGCUCUUCAUUCGGCAGGAUUGACAAACUCUCCGGCUGAGCUGAUUAAAGGGCUUUGGGGUCACAUAACUAGGCCAGCCAUCCCACUCGCACCUGUCUUUGCAGUGUAUACAAGUGUCUGCUGGGUGUGUCGGCUGUCAUUCUCGGAUCAAUGGCUUUAUUAAGCAGCAACGCAAGGGAAAAAAAAAAACUUUUAUCCUCUGCCGAAGGAAAAAAAAACAAGCUCCCAUCCGACACUUGUUUGUUUUCAAAACUCCAAACAUGGGGAUGCUCUGAUUAUGUUGCAAAAUAAACUAUAUUUACUUUUUUUUCCUACGACCACCAAUAGCAAGCAAAUAAUUUCCUUAAGCGUAAUUACAAUGCGGUAUUAAAAAGCUGAAUGUAUUUAUACAAGUUAAAUUAGAGUGUAAGAGGACUCACAAUUCACUUGCAAUGCUUUCAAAACACAGCUGUGAAAAUACAAAUAAGGCAUUAAAAGAAGAUGGAAAAGAAGGGACAAAAGGACACUUUGCUGUCAGGCCAAGCCUGAAGAGUACUAGAAAAAACGCAAUGGAGUCAAAGAUCUUCAGAAACUCUUAUCCAGCAUAUGAUGUGAAUUCUGGGCAAGCAUCUCACUGGAACAGCUUCGAUUCCUUACAAAUUCCUGCCAAAAUCCGAUAUUCCACAGCAGCUUGUACAAGUCCCCCAGCCUGAUGAAAGUAAACCUUUAAUUGAAGAGGCAUUAUUUAGUUUUGAUCUUGUCUACGGUCCAUUUAAAACACCACUCUUAGAAUAUUUGUUAGAAUUGCAAGUUAAAAAAAUUCAGAUUUCUUCUCAAUUGUGAUAUGCAGAGAGCGAUAUAAUAAAUAUUAUGAAUGGAAACCCACACCACGUAUUGUUUUUAUUCUUUGCCUACAAUCUGUAUUGAAUCUGUGCAGUAUUUUUUGUAUCGACAAUGAAUCCAUUGCAAACCAAUACCAUAUUCAUAAAAGGCCAUUAACACUCAAAAUCAGUUAAUGGGCUGUGUAGCAAAACUACUGAAGUUCUGGAACGUCUCAACAUCCAUCUUGUCUCCACUCAACAAUUGAUCGGCUAACAGAAAAAAAAUGUUUUGACAGAUUGUCAUCAUUUACUUAUUCAACUCAGGUCUGGCACAACAGACGCAUACCAUUGAUACACUUACUGGUUCUACUGAAGGUUUGGGGAGGACUGGAGAAUUAGGCUUUCCUUUUUUACCUGUCUCAACAUGUGCAAAACACAUUUGCAGAUCACCCCUACGGUUUUUCUUUACCUAGUUCUCAGCAGUAGUCCAAUGCACCCUUGUUUGCUCGAAGUAGAGGGAGCAGUCCCAAUCCAUGAUAAUCCACCACCAUCCUCGGCAACUGGGAUGAGGCUCUUCCAUUGGUACACAGGGUUUGGUUUUUGCCACAGAACAUAUUUCUCAUAGUGCAGAAAUACGUCUUCAGUGAGAGAGGCCUGCAGAUCCUAGAGUUUUAGUCUUCUUGGAUGAUUUUCUCAGUUGUUCUUGAAGAGCUCUUGGCCAAAUGAUCACUGAAAAUGAACCUUUGAAAAUGAUAUUUUUCCACUAACCUGUUAUGAUAACUCAUAUAGGACAAGAUGGCUCAGGGGGUGAUAUCUGUACCCAAUCAUCCAAUCCCUUCAUUCCAAUUAUCUCCUUGAUUGUGCACAAUAAAAUAGGGGUUAUUUUGUAAUGUAAUGUAUAAUUUCACAUAGUUUCUAGUUCAUAUACCAUUAGAUCUCAAAAACACUGAAUUGGUAAACUUUUUGUACAAGACAGAUUUGAUUAAACAAGGGUACCCUGGUAAGAGAUUGUAAUUUCCAUAAUCA